UACGGAGGGUGCAAGCGUUAUCCGGAUUUACUGGGGUUAAAGGGUGCGUAGGUGGGUCUGUAAGUCAGUGGUGAAAUCUCCGAGCUUAACUCGGAAACUGCCAUUGAUACUAUAGGUCUUGAAUUAUCUGGAGGUAAGCGGAAUAUGUCAUGUAGCGGUGAAAUGCUUAGAUAUGACAUAGAACACCAAUUGCGAAGGCAGCUUACUACGGAUCGAUUGACACUGAGGCACGAAAGCGUGGGGAUCAAACAGG
rnacentral:rRNA from 1 species